GAGUGAAUUAGAUGUUCCUUUUAAAGUCAAGGCUGGACAAAUUGAUAAAUUAACUUUGAAGAUUCCUUGGAAAAACCUUUAUGGAGAAGCAGUUGUUGCAACCCUAGAGGGAUUAUACCUGCUUGUUGUCCCGGGAGCAAGUAUUAAAUAUGAUGCUGAAAAAGAAGAAAAAUCCUUGCAGGAUAUUAAACAGAGAGAGCUAUCCCGAAUUGAAGAAGCCCUUCAAAAAGCUGCAG